GGCGGAUGUUGUCUUCUGAGUUAUGAUUGGGUACGUAUCUAUCCAAAUCACACACGCGUUUAAGCAACGCGUAAAAAUGCGCACACAACUUACGGAGAAACAGAAACUCCCUAUUAAAUCUCUUGCGCAGCUGCAGUAUAUAAUACGAAGCUAGUGCCCACCGCAGAGAAAAGUAAUUCGUGGACCUCACAUAACACGCGAAAGAAGGAAAGGCAUCAUCUUUCAAUCUCAAACCAAAAUUGAAAUUUGCAUUAAAACUUAAGUUGAAGAAAGAUGGGAGGUGGGAAAGACAAGCAUGAAAAUGAUUCUACUGAUAAAGGGUUGCUUUCACAACUUGCUGGAUUUGCUGCUGGUCACUACCCCCCUCAUGGAUCAUAUCCUUCACAUGGUUAUCCUCCUCAACCAUAUCCCCAA
rnacentral:misc_RNA from 1 species